GUGAUAAAAAUAAACAAAGUUUUUUUUUUGGUUUUACAUGAAUAAAGUUGAUUUUCAUUUUCACUGUUAGAGUUUUUUCCGUUUCUGUGAAUGUCUCGGUGUUUUUAGCAGCAUGCUGAAGACACUAGAGAGGUACCAGAAAUGUAACUAUGGAGCUCCUGAGCCUAAUGUGUCUACACGGGAAGCUUUGGUAAUGGUUUAGAAGAAGAAUAUCAAGGAGAUAAACAUUAUGGUGAAGGGGGGAAAUGAAUACAUGUCAAUACUCUAGAACAUAAUCAAUACUUUCUAGCAAAUAAAACCUUACAUUAUUGGUGAUUUCUGUGAUUGGUACAAUCAAAGUAAUGUUGUAAUGGCCACCAUGAGUUUUACAAAAAUUACUUGAACUAGUUAAAUUAGCAUCAAAACUAGACAUCUACUUUGAGAAAUUAAGGUGGUAGUAGAGAUUAUUGUGAAAAAGAUUUAUUAACUUGUUUUACCUUCUCAAAGUACUAGAUGUCCAGUUUUGAUAUUAACUU